CGCGGCCUAUCAGCUUGUUGGUGAGGUAACGGCUCACCAAGGCAUCGACGGGUAGCUGGUCUGAGAGGACGAACAGCCACACUGGUACUGAGACACGGCCCAGACUCCUACGGGAGGCAGCAGUAGGGAAUCUUGCACAAUGGGCGAAAGCCUGAUGCAGCGACGCCGCGUGGGGGAUGAAGGCCUUCGGGUUGUAAACCCCUUUCAGUAGGGACGAAAAUGACGGUACCUGCAGAAGAAGCACCGGCCAACUACGUGCCAGCAGCCGCGGUAACACGUAGGGUGCAAGCGUUGUCCGGAUUUAUUGGGCGUAAAGAGCUCGUAGGUGGUUCCGUAAGUCGGAUGUGAAAACUCGAGGCUCAACUUCGAGACGCCAUCCGAUACUGCGUUGACUUGAGUCCGGUAGAGGAGUGUGGAAUUCCUAGUGUAGCGGUGAAAUGCGCAGAUAUUAGGAGGAACACCUAUUGCGAAGGCAGCACUCUGGGCCGGUACUGACGCUGAGGAGCGAAAGCAUGGGUAGCAAACAGGAUUAGAUACCCUGGUAGUCCAUGCCGUAAACGGUGGGCACUAGAUGUGGGGACUUUCAACGGUUUCCGUGUCGUAGCUAACGCAUUAAGUGCCCCGCCUGGGGAGUACGG
rnacentral:rRNA from 1 species